rnacentral:piRNA from 1 species
UAUGAUAUGAAAGAACAGAGCAC